UAUAUUAAUAUUUAAAAUAUUUAAUUUUAAUAAAUGCGAUAAUUAUUUUUAUAUUUUCUAGCAUUUUAGCGUCCCUGAUCGGAUUUUGAUCAGUCUCUGUAUCUCAACUCUGAAAUUGCUAAUUAUAAUGAUAUUGGUCAUUGUAGUGGCAGCUCGUAGUAGUUUAGCCACAGAAUAAUAAAUAAAUAAUAAUAAUAAAUAAUUCUGUGGUUUAGCACAGGAGUGCGAUUAAAAAAAUUAAAGAACUAAUACAUCAUACAAAAAAUUAAAAUGAUAAAAUAAUAAUUCAAAAUUAAACACUUCGCCGUCGUUGCCGUCCGAUUUGAGCGACAGAAUUCGCCACACAUCAUAAACGGGUCGCGGAGGCCAGCGUUUAUUUUUCGUUGUGCACUUGCAUCGAGCCGCCGACAGUUGAACAGUAAUACGCUUGAAGAAAUGACUAACCACGUGACAAAUAUUAACGUUUUCAUUUCAACACAUGUUAUUGGUAUCACCGUCUAAAAUUUCAUAAGUGAGCUACAAUUAUAUGCAGCAUUGCAGCUAAACAUAUCAGAGAUGGUGGAAGAUUUAGAAAAGCAUGAGGAUAUUCCGAAGUGUGUUCCAAGAUUUCUCGCCGAAUCAUAUAAGCUUACCUAAUCCAAGACUUAUUUUCAAUUAUAAUAUUAUGGAUCUCAACUCACAAAUUUUGAUAAUUUAAUUCGGUCGAGUUGUGAAAAUUGUAGUAUAAAUGUGUUAUGCGAAAAUUGUACAAAAAAAAAACGAUACUUUUGUAAAAUGUACCAUUAUGGUAAAUAAACCGUUAUGGUAUAAAUUCGUUAAUUCAAAAUUUGAAAAUCUCUACCUCCCCUGGCUCAUCAAAGAUAUAACGAAAUAUUCUAGUGUAGAUUUUGAGUUUAUUCUUCUUGAGCUAUAUGAAGAAAUGUAUGCUAUACAAUGUGAUAAUGGGCAUGCCUUUGGAAAGCACAUUUAUUACAUAAUAGCAUAGUUUCUAGUGAUUUAAGUUUGGGGAAUAAUAAUUUUUAAUAAUAAUCUAUCUCAUGAUAAAUAUUCAAUUAAAAUUAAUUAUUGGAAUCAUUUAAUUUUUACUAUUUCAAAAAUAAGAUUUAGUUGUUUAAAUAAUGUAAAUAGAAUAAUUAAUAACCUAGAUAAGUUUUAAUUUAAGAAUGAAUAAGGAAAAAUCCCUUUUAAUUUUAGAUAAUGUAAAUAUAGAAUAUAGUAUAAAUAGAUUAAAGUAUAUUUUGUUAGAUUGUAGA